rnacentral:rRNA from 1 species
AUUAUUUUAAGAUUAUUUUUUAUUGUUGAAAAAAUUAAAAAUAAAUUGUUUUUAACAAAAAUUAAAAUUUAUAAUAUUUCAUUUUUUGGUUUUUUGUUUUAAAUUAAAAUAAUAAAUAUGGGGGAAAAAAAAAUUUUGUUAUAAAUUAUAUUAGUUUAUUUUAAUUAAAAAUAUUUUUUAUUAAAUUUGUUUUUUUUAUUUUUUUAUAAAAAAUAUUAAUUUAAUUAUUAUUAUUGAGUUUAAUUUAGUUAUUUUUAAAAAAAUUUUGUAUAAAAUAAAUUUGAUAAUAAAUGUUUUUUAAAUUCUUUGGGGGUUUAGUUUAUGAUUUUUUGUUUCUGCUCAUUGUUAAAUAAAAGCACUUUUAGCGU